UACGUGGGGGGCAAGCGUUGUUCGGAAUUACUGGGCGUAAAGGGCUCGUAGGCGGCCAACUAAGUCGGACGUGAAAUCCCUCGGCUUAACCGGGGAACUGCGUCCGAUACUGGAUGGCUUGAGUUUGGGAGAGGGAUGCGGAAUUCCAGGUGUAGCGGUGGAAUGCGUAGAGAUCGGGAAGAACAUCAGUGGCGAAGGCGGCCUGCUGGGCUGUUGCUGACGCUGAGGCGCGACAGCGUGGGGAGCAAACAGG
rnacentral:rRNA from 1 species